rnacentral:misc_RNA from 1 species
AGAGAGAGAGAGAGAGAGAGAGAGAUGCAAGAGACCCAUUUAUUGUUUAAAUGAUUUAAUUUUAGUUCGCUCGGUUAAGACUUAAUAUUCUUGUUACUACUAUAUUAUAUAAUAGAUGCUUGCGUUGGAAUUAAUAAUUGCACUUUCUCUUUGAUUCCUUAAUACGAAGAGUUUCUUUCUGCUGCUUUAUAUACGCAAUGUCUUGCGUACUUGAGGCUUCUGGUUGAUGAAUCGGCGCUCAUCCAUUCCAUAUCGAGAUUUGGCUUAACUUUGAUUCAUGUCGGCAAGAACUUUGAGGAGGAGACUUCAUCAUGGGGAUGUUGAUGGAAAAAGGGAAGAGCAUUUUGACACAUCAGGUUAUGAUGGCUUGAGUGAACCUCUGCUUGGGACUCAUGAACACGAUGAUAUGGCAGCAGGACUCACAUUUGAAGAUAUUUGGAAUGCUGAACACAGGAGGGAACGCCUCCAGUGGAUGUUGAUCUUAUCACAGUUGGUUGUACAGUGGGCUCAAUGGUUAGCAAAUGUUGUCCUAGGUUCUGGAUCACUUAUUGGACGAUUUUUGCCUUUUGCUGGUCAAAGCGGAUCAAGCAGGAACCUUCUUCAUCCUUAUCUUAGUCCUUUACAGGAAGAAAGACUCAGAAAUCUACAGCAAAGGCUGGGAGUAUGCUUUGAUGGUUCUCGAGCUGAGCAUCAAGAUGCACUUAAACAAUUGUGG